rnacentral:lncRNA from 1 species
AGCGCUACCUGUUCGUGUACAGGCCUGACCAGGUGUCUGCGGUGGACAGCUACUACUACGAUGAUGGCUGCGAGCCCUGCGGGAACGACACCUUCAACCGAGAGCCAGCCAUUGUCAGGUUCUUCUCCCGGUUCACAGGGAGUGUGCCUCACACGACGUGGCUGUCUCCACAGAGGUCAGGGAGUUUGCCAUUGUUCCCCUGCAUGCGGCCCCGGGGGACGCAGUAGCCGAGAUCGACGCUCUCUAUGACGUCUACCUGGAUGUCCAAGAGAAAUGGGGCUUGGAGCUAUGUGAGACCCUCCCAGUGGUCAUCCAUCCGCCUGUGGACAAGCCCCACCUUCCAGUGGCUGAUCCCCGACAGCGCUGACACCACAGCUACACCCACGCACUGUGCCUAUGACAGGAUCGUGGUUGCAGGGAUGCUGCUCCGAGGCGCCGUUGUUCCCGACUCGGCUCUUCCCUUUAACUUCCAGGCUGCCUAUGGCCUGAGUGACCAACUGGUAUGUGUCCUCCCUUGCACAGCCACAUGAGGAUGGGACAC